rnacentral:lncRNA from 1 species
AUGGUGCUUCUGUCACCAACCAAGGAGGGCCUACAGCAGCACCUAGAUCUUAUGCACAAUCUUAUGCACAGAUUCUGUCAGACCUGGGCCCUGACAGUAAAUCUCAGUAAGACCAAAAUAAUGGUGUUCCAAAAAAGGUCCAGUCACCAGGACCACAAAUACAAAUUCCAUCUAGACACUGUUGCCCUAGAGCACACAAAAAACUAUACAUACCUUGGCCUAAACAUCAGCGCCACAGGUAACUUCCACAAAGCUGUGAACGAUCUGAGAAACAAGGCAAGAAGGGCAUUCUAUGCCAUCAAAAGGAACAUACAUUUCAACAUACCAUUUAGGAUUUGGCUAAAAAUACUUGAAUCAGUCAUAGAGCCCAUUGCCCUUUAUGGUUGUGAGAUCUGGGGUCCGCUCACCAACCAAGACUUCACAAAAUGGGACAAACACCAAAUUGAGACUCUGCACGCAGAAUUCUGCAAAAAUAUCCUCCGUGUACAACGUAGAACACCAAAUAAUGCAUGCAGAGCAGAAUUAGGCCGAUACCCACUAAUUAUCAAAAUCCAGACAAGAGCCGUUAAAUUCUAUAACCACCUAAAAGGAAGCAAUUCCCAAACCUUCCAUAACAAAGCCAUCACCUACAGAGAGAUUAACCUAGAGAAGAGUCCCCUAAGCAAGCUGGUCCUGGGGCUCUGUUCACAAACACAAACACACCCCACAGAGCCCCAGGACAGCAGCACAAUUAGACCCAACCAAAUCAUGAGAAAACAAAAAGAUAAUUACUUGACACAUUGGAAAGAAUUAACAAAAAAACUGAGCAAACUAGAAUGCUAUUUGGCCCUACACAGAGAGUACACAGCGGCAGAAUACCUGACCACUGUGACUGACCCAAAAUUAAGGAAAGCUUUGACUAUGUACAGACUCAGUGAGCAUAGCCUUGCUAUUGAGAAAGACCGCCGUAGGCAGACAUGGCUCUCAAGAGAAGACAGGCUAUGUGCUCACUGCCCACAAAAUGAGGUGGAAACUGAGCUGCACUUCCUAACCUCCUGCCCAAUGUAUGACCAUAUUAGAGAGACAUAUUUCCCUCAGAUUACACAGAUCCACAAAGAAUUCGAAAACAAAUCCAAUUUUGAUAAACUCCCAUAUCUACUGGGGGAAAUUCCACAGUGUGCCAUCACAGCAGCAAGAUUUGUGACCUGUUGCCACGAGAAAAGGGCAACCAGUGAAGAACACACACCAUUGUAA